rnacentral:misc_RNA from 1 species
GAUGAAGAACGUAGCGAAAUGCGAUAAGUAAUGCGAAUUGCAGAAUUUCCGUGAGUCAUCGAAUCUUUGAACGCACAUUGCGCCCACUGGUAUUCCGGUGGGCAUGCCUGUUCGAGCGUCAUUAUCCUCCCUCAAACCCCGGGUUUGGUGUUGGUCCCAAGUUGUGUGAACAACUGGUCUCAAAGACAAUGACGGCGUCCGUGGGACCCUCGGUGCAACGAGCUUUUAGGAGCACGCAUCGAGUUGCAAGGACCUUCCGGGCCGGUCUCCUUUACCAUUUUACAAGGUUGACCUCGGAUCAGGUAGGAAUACCCGCUGAACUUAAGCAUAUCAAUAAGCGGAGGA